rnacentral:lncRNA from 1 species
CCCCUACAAAUGGUAUCAAAGCCCAGUAAUUUAAAAAAUACAGAAGUGAGAUAUAUGUUAAGUGAGAUAUGUGAGAUAUAUCUAUUAGAGUUAUCAUCAGAAUUUACCUAUAAAUUAUUAAAUUAAUUAUGAGAAGACCAUUUAAAAAUAGAGAAGCUUUUAGAAAAAUUAAAGAAUCUUUAAUUAGUAAUUAUUCAGAAUAUAUAAGUCUAAAUAAAACAAAAGAAAACCCACA